CACAUACUGACACACACAGAUAUACACACACAUAUAUACUGACACACAGACAGAAAGACAUACUGACACACACACACAGACAUACUGACACACACACAGACAUGCUGACACACACACACAUACACUAACACACACAUACACUAACACACAGAUACACUAACACACACACACACUAACACACAUACACUAACACACACACACUAACACACAUACACUAACACACACAUACACUAACACA